rnacentral:lncRNA from 1 species
CAGAAAGCUUGGAGGAGGGACUGAUAGCAAAGUCUUCACUUGCUCAGCCAAAUCCUGUAAUAGUUACAAAUGAAGUUGGUGAGCGCAGUGGCUUCCCAGAGAGUGGUAAUUCUUCAGCAGCUACACCCGUUGUUGUUCUUAGCACCUUGGUAGCCAUUUGCGGUUCAUUUGCUUAUGGCUGUUCUGUAAGUAGCAUACCGUUAUCAUGCAUGCUAGUUACUUUUUUUUUGUUUCUUGAUCGUAAAUGUGAAGAAGAAAUUAGCAAAUUAGAGUAAAAUUGAGUUUUUAAUUGAUUUCUAAUUUUCUAUCCUACCUACAAUCAUGUGGUUGGUAUUAGGUAAGAUUACAUGACUGGUCCAGUAAUUUCAUGUUAGAUGGUGUGUAUUUAUCAAAUGUUCUUCAUUUUCAGCAAACAAUGGAUUAGUGUAUAAUGGUGACUCACCAACUUGAGCAAAUUGGAUUGUUUCAAAGUUUCAUUUUUGUUUUGAAAGGCAGCUUAAUCAUUAAUUAAUAAUCAAUAGAUACUUUAAGACAACAGAAUAGGAUCUUAGAUACAUAUGUUAGUAUAAUACUUGUUAGUAGGUGACUUUAGAGAUUGGCAUUAAUCAAAACUUUCACCAUCAAAUGCAUGAAACAGGUGGAUUAUUCUAAUCAUAAAAAUAAUCUAUUAUAAUAUACACUAAAAAUUCAAAUGGGUACAAGAUUUCUUCUGCAGUUGUCAUUCCAAUUUCUCAUUUCAUAAUUGUCAAACUCUUCUCUUUUUCCAUUGGCUCUCUUUCGUUCAAGAAGAAUAAUCAUGGAGACAUCAGAAAGCUUGGAGGAAGGACUAAUUCCGAAUCCUCCACUUCUUGAGCCAACGCCUAUGAUCACCAAUGAAAUUGGUAACGGCAGUGGCAUGUACGAAAGUGAUCCUUCUACUACGCCUGCUGUUGUUUUCAGCACCUUGGUGGCCAUUUGCGGCUCAUUUACUUACGGCUGUGCUGUAAGAUCCAUUGUUGUUUUGUUGCUGUGAGAGUAAAUGAAUACAAUUUUCUUGCAAGAUUAGUCUCUAAAUGCUUGAAGAUAGCGGGCAUUCAGGAAGCAGUUUUGAGUGAAAUCACUUUCAUAUUAAGCUACUAGUCAAAAUUUUAGCUUUUCAUUGACUGCAAUAGAUUGAUUGAUUAUUGUUUUCAGGUUGGAUAUUCAUCACCUGCUGAGUCUGGAAUGAGGGCAGACCUGGGACUUUCAGUGACAGAAGUAAGUUGACCAAGGUUAUCCAUGAACACAGAACGUUCAAAUAAACAAAUAAAUUCAUAUAAACAUUGGCCAGAAUAUGUCACUUUUGAUACACACGUGUACAUACAACAUCUACUAUUAUGUAUGCAGAUUCACUUAACUGAUCAUUACUAUUAUAUGAUCUUAUACAUUUUGAGUCCUAUUAUUGACCAUGGCUUUCCCUUAUUCUUCUCAUUCUGCAGUACUCAGUUUUUGGUUCAGUAUUGACAUUUGGAGGAAUAAUAGGUUCAUUAGUAAACGGGAAAAUAGCAGACCUCACUGGUCGAAGAGGUGUAAGUCGUUCAAUCAUCCGCUUUAUGUCUCAAUGAAUAGUAUGAAAUUUCUUUUACUGUUGUCAAUAGUAUUAUAAUUAACUGCAAGUGCAACAGGCAAUCUGGCUAUCUGAGUUAUUCUGUAUAGUUGGGUGGCUGGCAAUUGCAUUCUCAAAGGUCUUUUUCCUUUAGCUUCUCUUUUUCAUCACAAUCAUGCUUGAUUUGGUUGCCUGCAUGAAAACUGUACUUAGAAUCUUAUUUGGAAUUAAAUGCUCCUUUUCGGGGUUCAAGUUUCAUGUCUACCUCUAUCUACAAUUAAAAUGGUAUGUCAAUAGGCUAUAAUUUACCUCUGUACUUGUUGAUAGGAUGCUUGGUCCCUAUAUCUUGGACGAUGUUCUAUUGGGAUUGGACUUGCACUUAUUGCUUAUGUGGUAAGUGAGGUGAACAUUUUCAUGGUUGCUUAAUUCACAUGUGAGGCAUGUCACAGCAUUUGCAUCACUGUUCCAAGACAGAUACCUAUGUAUAUUGCGGAAAUAACACCCAAAAACAUCCGGGGAGCAUUUACAGCUACUAGUCAGGUAUAUAUAUGUUAAUUAUAAUGAUUGUAUUACUUGUCUAACUUAUAUUUAAUGAGCAUUUACUUUGUCAUCAAUUCUGCAGUUCUUGAUUAUGUCUGGUAUGUCAGUAAUGUAUUUGGUGGGUACUAUUGUUUCCUGGCGAGCCCUGGCUCUAAUUGGUAGCUUCAGCUUGCCCUGCUUUUGAUUUCAUUUGCUUAAUUGCGAAGCCCUUCAAGAUUUCUGAUGUUUCUUUUUCGUUUAAUUUUUAGCUGCUGUUCCAUGUCUGUUGCAAGUUGUUGGUUUGUUCUUCAUUCCAGAGUCACCAAGAUGGCUGGUUAGUCCAAGUCAAAUGUCCAUAAACUUUUUUCCUGGUGGAAUUUAAUUUUGCAAAAAGCAGAGACUGGAGUCCCUAGCUUUUUGUUUAAGCUCUUGUUACUAUGCUUGUGAACUAAGAGCAUAUUAAAGUUAAAUGUGUAUUUCUCUUUGCAGGCAAAGAUAGGUAAAGAAAAAGAGCUAGAAACUACUCUGCAGCGCCUUACAGGAAAGACUGCAGAUAUUUCUAUGGAAUCUGCUGACAUCAGAAUAAAAUUCCAACUCUAAUAUUUGACUACUCAGUAAUUACAAAACACACGAAACAGCUGUACAUCUCUUACACAAAACAACCAAUGAGCAUCCCAUAUUGUACAGGAUUACACGCAGACAUUUGAGAAGGACUCGAAAGCUGGGAUUUUUGACCUGUUUCAACGGAGAUAUGCUUAUUCACUCUCAGUGAGUCCUCAAUAGUUGUAUUUUUUUUUUUUUUAAUAUUUGUAAUCUCGUCAUAUAUCAUCUGUCCUAUGAUUUUUAUGUUUGAUUAUUUAAUUGGUUUAGGUUGGAGUUGGAUUAAUGGUAAUGCAACCAUUUGUAGGAUCAGCUGCAAUUGCAUAUUAUGCUAGCUACAUAUUUGCAGCAGCUGGUAAAUAAACAACAUUUUGUACUAUUUCAUAGAACUUCUGAACAUCCAAGAAAAUGACAGUAUGAAUCGUUUGUUUGUAACAGAUCUUUCGACGGACAUUGGGAGUAUAUCAAUGGCUAUCAUUCAGGUAAUUGACCAUCAAUCAAACGUGAGAUUUUUCCAUUUGAAAUACUCAGGAACAUACAAAUUCUCUUGCAGCUUCCGGCUAUGGGCGCGUCUGUACUCCUGACAGAUAGAUUUGGAAGAAGACCACUUCUUUUGGUAUGCACAUAUCAGAGAAUUAAGUUUAUCCAAAAGUUAGUUAUUCAGGAUAUAUAUAUGUUCAUAUUUUUGCAGGCUUCUACUAUCGGGAUGGGCUUAAGUCUCACUAUUAUAGCUUUGGCAUUUGGCCUGCAGGUUCUUCUAUCACAAUAUUUAUGCACUUCUUCACUAGUUCUCAAUUCUGUUUGACAUAUUUAUGAUCAUUGCUUAAAAUACUUAUGUGCAGGACACCCAUCUUUGGAAUGAGGCUACUCCAGUCCUUGUGUAUGUUGGCAUAAUGGUAAUAGUCUCUAAAUGUUGUGAGCUUACAUCAAAGGGUUCUCUCUCUAUAAAGAUUUUUUUCCCCCCUAUUGUAUUGUCUGCCUAAUUGGAGCAACAUAUGACAAAAUAUAUGAUCAGGGGUUUAGCAUAGCUUUUGCAUUAGGCAUGGCGGGACUACCAAGUGUCAUAAUGGCUGAGGUAUAUGACUACAUGAUCUAGCUCUACUUCUUUUCAUGAAUGUCUUAACAGGAGUCGAUAAAUAAGCCAUUGAACUUCCAUUUUUUAGAUAUUUCCUAUAAACAUCAAAGGUUCAGCAGGAAGCCUGCUGAUUUUACUCCACAACUGCAGCAAUUGGAUAGUUACAUACACUUUCCAUUUCAUGAUGGAAUGGAGCAGAACAGGCACCUGAAACCCCCCACCAUAUAUGCUCGUACUAUUUUCCACUUCACAAUCCUCUUUAUCUUGCUCUCUAAUUACAAGUCUGUGUUGGCUGCUAUGGCAGGAACAUUUUCUAUAUUCUGGGUCAUAUGCGCUGCCGCUGUCCUGUUUGUUGCAUUUCUGGUGCCGGAGACCAAGGGACGAACACUCGAAGAAAUUCAAGUAUCAAUUACAAAGUAUUAAUAAAUUUUAUAACAGAACUCCACAUUUGUCCAAAACCAUGCACAUAUAAAUGCCUUAAUACAAUGGUGUAUAUGAUCUUGGAGCCAAAUUAUUACAAAAAUGAGAAAUGAAAAUGAGAAAAUGGCUAAGACCUUAAAAAGUUGAGAGACAAGGAUUGAAAGAUGAAGAAUAAAGUAGCUGGGAGAAGAAGAAGAAAGUCGAUAAGAGUGGGAAAAUGUGCAGAAUAAGUUUGAUAAUUUAUUGAGUAUUUGUUGCGCAUGUAGGGCGCAUAAUGGCUACAGAAACAUCUCAGUUUAUGAUAAUUAUCAUUUUGUUGUGGAAUUAAUUGGAAAUUAUCCAGACAUACACAUAAAUAAUAAGAAGUUAAAGGAUCAGGUCAAGAAAAUGGACGCCAACCUUUGUGAGAGUGGUCACCUGCUUCGAAGUUCUCAAUAACUCAUAAUAUAUUUCACUUUCACUGCUUUAGUGCGACUCGAAUCCUCAUGCAACUCCUAAUAUAUUUGACGUCUUUAGUGUGACCCAGUUUAGUACUCUAGUGCAUGACCUGUGAAUUGGCCUUUAUUCAAGGGUACGUCUAUAAGAGCACUCACGGGCCAUGUUGGCAAGUCAAAGCAUUACCACGAUUUCCUGCCUGUCCCAAAAGGGCAUAAAUAAUUUUUUAGGGCAGUUGCAGUAGUUGUCAUGCGCUUGCUUCGUUCAUUUGCCUUGCUUUCCCUUGAAGAAAUUAAUCAUCAUGGAGAGACCAGAAGAAAGGUUGAAGUUGGAGGAAAGACUAAUUCCAAGUUCUUCACUUGCUGAUGAAAUUGGUGAUGGCAGUGGCAUGCAAGAAAGUGAUUCUUCAGCCACACCUGCUGUUGUUCUCGGCGCUUUGGUGGCCGUACGUGGUUCAUUUGCUUAUGGUUGAUCUGUAUGUACCAUUAUUAUCAUCAUGUUUUUAGUGUUGUUUUCUCUCUCUCUUUUUCAGUUCCUUUUCUUGAUGCCGUGUAUUUAGACAUGUUCAUUAGUUACACUAUAAAUGUGAAUAAUUGUAGUGUCUUAGAAUUGUAACUGGGCUGUUACAUUCACAUUCCAUUUCAUGAUGGAAUGGAGCAAAACAGGUAUCCGAUAACCCCCGAUGCUUAUACAUUUUCCAUUUCGCAAUCCUCUGUCUUCUGUGUUGCUCUCUAGUUACAAGCCUGUGUUGGCAACUCUGGCAGGAACAUUUUCUAUAUCCUGGGUCAUAUGCGCCGCAGGUGUUGCGUUCGUUGCAUUCCUGGCGCCGGAGACCAAGGGACGAACGCUUGAAGAAAUACAAGCUUCAAUUACAAAGCUUUUUGGGACAUAAAUCAACAUCACUCACAGUGCAAGUGUAAACUCGGCUCACAGAUUGUGCUUGAUGCGACGUCCCGGAUUGGACUGUACUGGACUAAAAUGUAUUAAGUUUAAUAUGUUACUGAAUUAUAAUCUCUAUUAAAUUUUUUUAGUAAUAAUAGAUUAAUAUUAUUUGUGUACUUUAUAUUCUUAUUAAUUAAUAAAAUAUUAUCAUCGUCAUCAUCACCACUCCGGGCUAAUGUCAAUCGCUGACAAUUUCUUUGUUGUCAUAUAAACCAAAGAUAAAUUUGUAGGGUCCAGUGAUCAUUUAAAAAAAAAAAAAAAUAGAGGCUUUUUCCUAGCCGCACGAGUUAGUGGAAAAUGAUGGGCCCGGUCAGUUAUUAUUGCUGGGUUCUGGUAGUCUCCAAAGUUAGUUAAUCCAGGCCCAACCAGUGGACCGAGCCGAAAUUACAGUUAGCCUUUCCUUGGGUUUUCAGUCAUUCCAUACCAUACCAUUGAAACUCAAAGAUUUUUAUUUUAUUUUCUUUUUUUUUGAUACAAAAAAGGGCUAAGUUAAAAACUAAGCAAUGACCAUUGGUGGAUAAGCAGUCCCAAAUACAUGAUGCAGCAGCCACCCUUCAGUUCCGGACGGAGGCGUGGGAUUUAUUUUAUUUUCUUUACUUAGCAGAAAAAUGAUUGUUGUUGAAACUUUUUCUCUUCGCGUGUACAGCUUGCAUGGAAAGUGACGCCGCAUUGAUUUUUUUUUUUUUUUUAAAUUUAUUUCAAAUACUGAUACGUUGCAAUCAAAAGCCUAAUGAUUCAAGAUAUACGUAAUACGUCCACUCUGCAUAAGAUAAGAGUGGGACGGGAAGCCAUACAAAAUCGAUACUACCCACAUGAUGAGUGUUUGGCUUUAGGAUGGUGUUUAUUAACAUGUCUGCAUUGUAACUCGCACUAAUUAGUAUUUCUUCUUUUUAUCAUUUUUUUUUUAAAGAUAAGAGAGUAGAUAAAGCUUGAGUUUAUUUUUUUAAAUUACUCGACCGCGUUCUUAGAGACAAUAUAGAUAUAUACCAACUAUUUCGGAUAAUUAAUUCUUGUAAGUUAACAUGGUUCAGCUGGAAGCCAAUAUUUCUGCUCUUCGAUUGUCCAAUAUUGCCCCACUAUUUUUUUAAUUACUUGAGGUUAUUAGUUAGAACACAAUUCAUAUUUUGUGAGACUCAGAUAAUUAUUGAAAAUAAUAUUUUAUAAAGAAGAAAUUUUCCUUCCAUAUACUCAAUUAUACAAUAUAAUUAAGAAAAGAAUUAUCUCCCCAUACUUUUUUGAGGGGUUUAAAUUGUGAGGACAAUAACCUUAAUCAUUGGGCCUAAAGUCAAGUGGCUUAUUGUUCCUAGUAAAAUUAAAAUUAAAAUUAAAGUCUUUUUCUAUUAUCAUAAUAUUGAAAAAAAAAAAAAUUUGUCAGGUGGGCUCUAUGCAGUCGCAUCAUUUCAACUGUUUUUUUAUAAUUCCAAUAAUGCAGUGUUCUUUCUUUCACUUGCUCCUGUGAAAGAAUUAGGACAUGGAGAAUCCAGAAAGCUUGGAGGAGGGACUAAUAGCAAAGUCUUCACUUGCUCAGCCAAAUCCUAUAAAAAUUACAAAUGAAGUUGGUGAGCGCAGUGGCUUGCCGGAGAGUGACAAUUCUUCAGCUACACCCGUUGUUGUUCUUAGCACCUUGGUAGCCAUAUGUGGUUCAUUUGCUCAUGGCUGUUCUGUAAGUAGCAUACCGUUAUCAUGCAUGCUAGUUACUUUUUUUUGUUUCUUGACCUUAAAUGUGAAGAAGAAAUGAGUAGAUUACCAUAAAAUUGAGUUUUUUUUAUUGAUUUUUAAUUGUCUAUCCUACCUACAAUUAGGGGUGGGCAUAAACCCACAACCCAUGGGUUUACCCAAACCCAAACCAAAUUAAAUGGUUUGGGUUGGGUAAAUCAUGAAAAUGGGUUAGAUGUGGGUUUUAUAUAGAAAAUCAUUUCAUUAUGGGUUGGGUAUGGUUUACCCAUGGGUCAUGGACAAAACCCCAACACUCAAACUUUUCAAAUGAAAUAAAUGAAAACAAAAUAAAUGAACACAAAUAAGUGAAAGACCACCAUUAAAUUUUUUAAGGCGUGAUCAAUUGUCAACAGUUAGAAAAUGAAAAUAACAGUAAAAAUAAAUUUAAAUUAAAUAAAUAUUGUUGUAAAUAACAUAAAAUUUUUUUCUUAUUUACAAAAAUAAUUCCUCCCACAUGGAAGGAUCAUCAUAGAAAGAGCAAAAGACUCUACUAGUGAUCAAUAAUAACUCGGCUUGGACUGGGUCCGAUAUGCUAGAUGACGGCUAAUUUUUGAUCAAUAAUUGAAUGUAAUGCCCAUAUUAGGCCCUGUACAAAACUUUGCUUACCAUAUAAUGAAAUUAGAACGUAAAGCAUACACACUAUCUAAUAUUAGAAUGUAAAUAAAAUUAAGGGGGAUUGUCACUUUCCCCCCUACAGUAAUUAACAUAUACCAUUUACCCCCUUUCUGUUUUUAAAUGGCCAAAAAUCCCUCUGACAACAUAAAUUUACAAUAUUACCUUUAUUUUUAACUACUCUUUUAUUUACAUUUAUUAUAAAUUAAAUAAAUUACAUGAAUAGAAAACUAAAUAAAAAAAUUAAGUAUUAAAACAAGAAAUAUAUGUUUUGAUAUGAGCAAAAAAAUUAAUAAUAAAAUUUUUUCUUGUAAUUAUUUAUUUUGUGAACAUUUUCUUAUAAUAAACAUUUUGUAAUAUUUUAAAAUUAAAUGUAAAAAGUAUAGGUAAAAUAUUUUAUUAUUUAUCUUAUAAUAAAUUUUUAUUUUUCAUUCAAGUUUUCUUAUAAUAAUUUUUUUAUCAUUUUACUAAUAAUUUUCUUAUAUAUUUAUUAUAAGAAAAUUUUCACAAAAUAAAUAAGUAUAAAAAGUUUUUAUUAUUAAUUUUUUUGUUCAUAUCAAAACAUAUAUUUCUUAUUUUUAAUGCUUUAUUUUUAUUUAGUUUCUAUUCAUGUGAUUUAUUUAAUUUAUAAUAAAUAUAAAUAAAAGAGUAGUUGAAAAUAAGUUAUUGUAAAAUUUAUAAUUUUUAUCCACUAUAUUUUUUUAUAUGUUAAUAUCAAUUUAAUAAUUAAUAACAAUUAAUAAUUAUUAUAAUUUUGAUAUAAUUAAAUUUUAUUAAAAUAAAAAUUAUUUUAAUAAUAAAAUUCAAACCAAACUCAAACCAAACCCAAAUGGUUUGGUUUGAGUUGUGUUAAAAAUAUUUGGGUUGGUUUGGGUUGGAUUCAAAUUUUUAUGGUUUGAUUUGGGUUGACUUAAAAUCCAACCCAAACCAACCCAUGCCCACCCCUACCUACAAUCAUGUGAUUGGUAUUAGGUAAGCUUAGAUGACAGGUCCAGUACUUUUAUGUUAGAUGGUGUGUAUUUGUCAAAUGUUUUUCACUUUCAGCAAACAGUGGAAUAGUGUAUUAUGGUGGCUUACCAACUUGAGCAAAUUGGAUUGUUUCAAAGUUUCAUUCUUGUUUUGAAAUGCAGCUCAAUUAUCAAUUACCAAUCAACAGUUACUUUAAGCCAACGGAAUAGGAUCUUAUGUCAAUAUGUUUAACAUUAACAUAAAUGUGUUUUUAGUUGGUGACUUUAGAGAAUAGAGAUAAGCAUUAAUCAAAAUUUUCAUCAUCAAAUACAUGAAACAGGUGGACUAUCCUAAUCAUAAAAAAAAUAAUCUAUUAUAAUAUAUACUAAAAAUUCAAAUGCGCAUAAAGAUUUCUUCUGCAGCUGUCAUUCCAAUUUCUUAUUUCAUAGUUGUCGAAUGCUUCUUUUUUUCCAUUGCCCCUCUUUCGCUCAAGAAAAAUAAUGAUGGAGACAUCAGAAAGCUUGGAGGAAGGACUAAUUCCGAAUCCUCCACUUCUUGAGCCAACGCCUAUGAUCACCAAUGAAAUUGGUAAUGGCAGUGGCAUGUCUGAAAGUGAUUUUUCUACUACACCUGCUGUUGUUUUCAGCACCUUGGUGGCCAUAUGCGGCUCAUUUACUUAUGGCUGUGCUGUAAGAUCCAUUGCUGUUUUUUUGCUGUCAGAGCAAGUCAAUACAUUUUUCUUGCAAGUUUAAUCUCUAAAUGCUUGAAGAUAGGAGGCUUUCAGGAGCAGUUUUGAGUGAAAUCACUUUCAUCACAAGCCACUAGUCAAAAUAUUAGUUUUUCAUUGACUGCAAUAGAUUGAUUUGAUUGUUGUUUUCAG